AAGAUGUAAUAAUUCAAAACAAUCUUGUUAUUCAAAAUCCUUGUUGUUUUCAAGCACAUUUACCACGAUAGUUACUGACAUAUUAUUUAAAUUGUGAGCAAUAGGAAAACGUAGCUUAAUUGACAACGCACGGAGGGAGAAAUUAUUCUCCUGAUCUCAAUGUACGUAGGUUUGCACCCUGCAAACGUACGUUCCUAGAGAAGGAGAUAUACUACUUCAAAGAGGAUUCCAAGCAAAGUGGUUAUUCUGCAAUGUGUCCAAUCGGCAAAGUGGUUUUCGGCAACCUGCCAACAGACACCAAUAUUCAUAGUUUUCUAAUGUAGUCAUCUAAAGGAUUCUUUGGAAUAUUAUCUAUGAUUUGGAGUGUUGGGAGAAGGGCUUACGAAAUUUUGCUAUUCUUCAAAUACAUUGAACAAAAUGCAUAUCUCUAUAAAACUACAUAUAAAUUUAAGACGAACGAAAUAUCUAAACUCACAUACACGUUUUUCUUAGGAAGAUGUGGUGGGUUAAUUCUUGACAUUUUAUUUAUUUUUAAUGAGUCAUAUAGAAUUCUAUGUAAUUGGUUUUACGUGGGAAUAAAAGAGGCGAAUAGUAUGA
rnacentral:lncRNA from 1 species